UAAUAUUUUUUUUCAAGCAAAGCCACACCUUUAGAAAAGCUCUGUGGAUGUAUUUUUUUUGUUUUUUUUAAAGAUUCGUCUACAUAAAAAUGUAAAAAGAAAUUAAAAUGCAUGAGGCCAAUAUCAUCUCUUACUUCAUCGGCGUCCUGUUAGAACCACGUGCCUACACAUUUUAACUGAAGGAUAAACUCUUUAUUGGUUGAGAAGAUAAACUAAAACCCAACUGGAUUAUCUGAAAAGAAAUGCAUCGUCACAAAGCUGGAAACUGUUUUUCUCAGCUUGUUCAAAGUGGACAUUUUUGGAGGUCCGUGGUUUUUGCAGGACAAUGACAAAUGAAUGGUGCUCUUACCCUUGACAGAACAAAAAAAAACUUUACCUCUGUGGUUACAGAUGUGAUCAUCUAAGACAGUGGUUCCCAAAGUGGGGUCCAGGGACCCCCAGGGGACCUUGAGGGGGUCCCAGAGGAUCCUCAGCAAAAAGGGGAAUAAUGUAUUUUCACUAUAAUUCCCACAAGUACCACAAUGACAGAUUGUAUGACUAUUUUGGUCAUGGAUUUCAUACACUUUCUGUAAUAAAACAUCUAAAAGCAAAAAUCCAAUCAGAUGGGGGACUCAGGGACAGAAUCCUAUCUAAUGGGGGGUCCCUCCGUGGUCUAAUUUGUGUCAGUUUAGGGGUCCUCGACAUGAAAACGUUUGGGAACCACUGAUCUAAGACAAAUAAGUGAUAAAUCACCUGCAAGUGCAAUUAUAGUUCUGCAAAAAUAUUGUAAUGAAGAAUGAUUGUAGACAAUUAUUAGUGUAAUAACAAAAGUUAUUUAUUAUUCUAUGCAGCCUGUUGUAUAAUUUUGUAUUUACUCAGUAAUACUACAGUAUACUGUGCAGUUACUGUAAUGACAACUGCAUUAUAAAUUGUAUAUGUGAAAUGUAAAUGAGAUAAAAAAAAAAAUGCUGAGGAGUCAAAGCUGCUACUCUCUUCAUUCCAUCAGCAGCAUCACGUCAUCAUGUGUGUGUAUAUGAGUGAUACCAGGGCUCCAUCUGCUGGUUAAUGAUGGAUAUCCUCGAUGCUGACUAGAUAUUUUCAUAACAUGCUGCAUGUUCAGCACAGAAACUCUUCAGUCCUAAUUUUACUACCAAAAUGAAGCGUGUGUGUGUUUUAUCAGAUUAUUCCAGAAGUCAACUCAGUCAACUUUAGAAGCAUGAAGCCGGUAUACCGAAGGAAGAAGCAUGUGAAUGCAGCAUGUGAAACAGAAAUACUACAUGCUACAUGCAGUCAUUUAUAUGAUGCGAAAUAUUAGCUUUGACACAAUGAACAUCAUGUUUCCAGUAAUGCAGUCCUGUCCUUGGUAUCAGGGUUAUUAUAGUAAACUGAAACUGAAACUAAAAAGAAAAUAAGCAGUGAAAAAUAUUUUUAGUAAACUGCAACUAAAAAAAUUAAAAAUAAAAUUAUAUCCUUUAAGAAAAUAUGAACUGAAACCAUAAUACCUGGUUGAAAACUAAUAAAAAUAAAAAUAAAAAUGAACGUAAAUUAAUUUUAAUUUUAGUUUUUUUUUAGCUCUAAUAUAUCACAACCAAUUGAAAAUCCCAAACUAUUAUAACCUUGCUUGUUAUGUGCAGUGUCCUCUUCAUUCAUUCCUUUGAGAAACUUAGAGGUUGAUUCACUCAAAUUACGAACAACUAUGUAUUAUUUUCUCACUUAUUUGUUGUGGUAUUUAGCCAUGCAGGUUGUUUUGAUUGUGUAUGUCCAGAGGCCUGUACUACGAAGCCAGUUCAACACACCCAGGGUAUCUUCUCGUUAUCUGGCUUCACUAACCCUAACAACCGCGAUCCCGCUAAACGGUCCUACGAAGGUGGUUAUCAACUCGGAAAAUCAACCCAGAGUUUCUCCGUCUGGCUACUGUCGUGUUUACAUGA